ACAUUGGGACGAGUAAGACGUGUGUUAUUAUCCGUCAUAUUUGUUAUGUGUAGAUCGCAGCUACGGGGUGAAUUUUCUCCACGUCACAUGACGUCACAUUACCCCCACUGCCAGAUAGGUCUAUGUGACAUGAAUUAUGAUACGUCGUCGCACCUACCUAACUUAACCUACUCUCUCCAAUUUUGUGCUGAUAAUAAUUUAUAUAAUAUAAAUAAUUUAAAAAUAAAACAAUAGUAGAAUAUUAAAUAAUAUUUUAUAAUAUAUUUUUUUGCCAGAUUUAUUAUUUAGAAGAAAAUAUUGAUUUAUCUGGCAGUAUUUAUACAAACAUGAAACGUUAUUUGUGAAAUAUGGCCAUUAUCUUCAGUCAUGGUUUAGUUCUCGUAGAAUAUAUUUCGUUCGCAUUAAAGUCUUAUAUACAUCUUUAAAUAUGGAAUAUCAAAGGAAGCAUUUCCGGCAUAUAAUGGUUCAUUGUUUCAAAAAAGACUACAAUGUUAAAUAUACCACAGCUGAGAUUUGCAUCGUAUAUUGUAGUGGUUCUAUAAGUAUUCAGACAGUUCGCUUUUGGUUUAAGAGGUUUGAAAAGGAUAAUUUUAAUUUAGAAGAUGAACGCAGCAGCCGUCCUAGCAAUACGGAUACUGAACUAAUCAAGCCCGUUGUUAAUGAAAAUCUGCGAUAUAACAUUCGUGAAUUGCCAAAUAUUUCAAACAUUUCGCGAACAACAGUGCAUAAUCAUUUUUUAGAAAUCGGCUAGUUCAAUUUCUCUGAAUUAUGGAUUCCGCCUCAGAGAACAAUCUCGAGUGUGUUUUGAGCUGUGAUUUUCUUCUUUAGUAAAAUAAGAUCGAUUCAUUUUUGGUUAGAUUGGUUACUGAGGAUGAGAUGUGAAUUACAUAUGAAAAUAUACGUAAAUGACCUUCGUCCAGUGAUAAUUCUACGGUAACAAGAUCUGAUCUUCACCUGAAGAAAGUUUUGAUGUUCAUUUUGUGGGACUGCAAGGAUGUCAUUAUGAACUGCUUUCACCAGGUGAAACAAUUAAUUCAAUGAAAUAUUGUUCCUAAUUGGACAAAUUGAAGGAAACAAUCACUACAAAAAGGUGAGAACGAACAAAUGAAGCCGUUGUUUAUCAGUAACGCCAGGCUUUAUGUAUCUUCAGUCAUUAGAAACAAAUUGUUAUCAUUUGAUUGAGAUGUUCUACCUCAUCCGACAUAUUCUCCGGAUACUGCCCCGUGUGAUUAUUGCUUAUUUCUUACAUUAAACCAUUCUCUUUGCGCUAAACAAUUGACUACAAUAAAUGACAAAAGUGUUCCUAGAACGAUAUUUUGAUAGCAAACCUCAAAAGUUUUAGAAGAAUGCCAUUCUGCAGCUUCUAGAGAAAUGGAGAAAGGUAAUCAAGAAAAAUGGAGAACACAUAAUGCAGAUAUAAAAUAAUAUAAAACAAAAAAAAAUUGGGACAACUUAAUAUUUCCAAACGUAUCGAAGAUUUAAAAGUUGCUAAGUUGAAAAGAGAAUCAGCAAAGCUUUUGUGAUUCUGAGCUUUUGAAGAAGAUUAUAUUUGAAAUAGAAAAAUACAAUAAAGAUUAUUACAGGAUCUAGAAAUUGUAAUUUCUCAAGAUGCAAAGAGAAAAAAAAGUGAAACCAAUCGUAAUUAAUAUUUUUCCAAUAUGGCUAGUUUCUUAAAAGCAAAGAAACUUUGAUGAAAAUGCUCAAUAUAUUUAUUAUAUAUGAGACGUGAGCUCGCGUGUGUGUGUCUUACAUUAUAUACGUAUUUUUGCUACAAUGGAAAAGAAACUACAAAAAAGGCAAUGCAAGAACUAUACUUAUCAAAAACGAAGAAAAUUCCAAAAGCACUAACCACUAAAAUUAAAAUUUCAAAACCGGAAGCUACGACUAACAAAGUCGCUACUGAAAAAUAAUUCUAUUAGGCAAAGUGACAUUUAAUAUUUAUGUGAGUAUGUAUGAAUGUUCCACGUUAUGUAAAAUUAUACUGUAUUAUGCAAAUACUGUGUACAAUUUGUAAACUUUGUAUCAAAACUGCAUUUAUAAAUGUCGCAUUAAGCAAGUGUUACAUGUAAGAUAAACAUGAUAUCAUACGUGGAGAUAAAAAAAAUUCAAUAACUUGCAAAAAUUAUAAUAAUCCACCUGAAUUCUGUAUGUAGAAGAGGAUGUAUAUGCAUACGGGGACAUAUAUUUAACAACAAAAGAAAAUGUGUUUUACCCAGUAAAUGUUAAUCUCUCAUCUCAGUGAAAAAUGUACUUGGAGAAGUUCUGUGAAAACAUCUAAUUUAACCAGGUGGAAAAACCCACAUAUGUGCUGGAAUAAAAUGUAAUUAUGGUAUAAUUCUUGAAAUAUCUUUUUCUUACAUCUGAAAUUUGUUUUAUUUU